AUGUUUGCUUGUUUUUAUUAAUUUUGAAGUGUUGUGUAACCGGUGAAACCGGCGUAAAUAGUAAAAGCUCUGCCUAGCAACGUCACUAUCAAAAAAUGGCGACGCGGAACGCUCGUUACUACACGAAGAAAAUUAAAAAAAAAACCAAAAUAAUCCAGAUUUAUUGAAAUUUGGGAUAACAGUGAAGAAACAAAAGCUUUCUACAGAAGGCCGCGAGGCAGGCGAUACGGCAAUUGUACCCAAGAGCGACCGUUAAGGGCUGCGUGUUCCAUGGAACCAACGUGUGUACAGGAAGGUGGUAAAUGAGGGUCUCGCAACAGCUUAUGGGGCAAAUGGCGACAAGUUCCUCUUCUUGAGGAAACUUAUGUCCUUGCCGUAUCUACCGAGCGAACACAUCAUUUCUGCCUUCGAACAGAUGAUGGUACAGGCUGAAGAGGUUGGCGGUCCUCUUCUGAAUGUCGUCAAUUACGUUGAGCGCGCGUGGAUCCGGGGAUCCAUGUGUAAGCCGGAAAACUGAGGCGUCUAUAGACAAACAAAUGGGACUAACAACGAUGUUGAAGGCUGGCAUCGAAUAAUCCAUACGCAAGCCGGGCGUGCUGACGUUUGGAUUCUACAUGCUUUUUUGAUUAAAUUUUUAUGUUUUAUAUGCAAAUAUUUAUGCUUGGUGUAAUAUUGUUUGGAAAUAAAUGUAUGUGGUGCGUAAAGGUAAGUAUAUUAUUGUACCGUGUAUUGAGUAUAUUUAUAUUUGAUUAUGUUUUAUAUGCAAAUAUUUAUUUUUGGUGUAAUAUUACUUGCAAAUAAAUGUGUGUUGUGUAAAGGUAAGUAUAUAUAUUAUACUGUUUAUUGAGUAGAUUUGUAUUUGAUUGUAUCUUAAUGUUUUAUAUGCAAACUUUUUUUGGUGUAAUAUUGCUUGCAAAUAAAUAAAUAAAUGUAUGUGUUGUGUAAAGGUAAGUAUAUUAUUAUACCGUUUAUUAAGUAGAUUUUUUUGUUAAUGUAUUGUGUAAUAUUGUGUUGUAUUUGAAUAAAUGUUUUUUGUGAAUCAUAAUCAACAUUGUAUUAUGGUAUUUAAUUGCAUGUGUAUACUAACUAAACACUUCAAUUUAUCGAAUUUAACAGAAAAGAAAAAAACAUGUUGAUUGAUAACAGAAGAAAGGUGUCAAUCAAAGGUGCUAAAGUUUCCCGAUAUUGUUCACACCUAUAUAUUACCAUUGUUAAUAACCCUCUACCCGUUUUCUACAGUAAAUUCAGUGUGGCGAAACUGCAGUGUGACGAAACCUCCGCAAACCGUCAAAACGGCCCCUAGUAUUGAUGACCGAGACUUAUUAUUUGUAUCUGUUUACGAUUGUGAAUCUUGGUUAAAGUUAUGAUUAGGUCCCUUUAUAUAUAUGUUUUUAAUUUAAAUGCAUAAUAAUUACGCAUAUUCAUGAUUCAAACUUUGUAUGUAGUCUAUUUAUGCUUUGUGAAAGAAUGUGAAAAAUAAAAUAGCUCGAUUACAUUUCUUACAAAAAAACUGUUGUUCUAUGUAUACCUAAUGUUUCAGAUCAAAUGACAACCUCCCAGGGAGAUCAUCAUGCACUGGCGAGAGUCAGGAUCACAGAACAUGAAAAUUAUCAUGAAGAAGGAAUUUUCCUCUUCAGAUAUUGAGAGAAUUAUUGACAUUUUCAAGAGUAAAAAGAGUUCUAAAGCUGUUAAGUCCAGAACAUGUCUGAGUUAUGUGCCCUUGAAAUGUUCUAUGUUUAUAAAUGUUAUUCCUGUGGUAAAGAAGUUUUGGAACAAGGUAU